rnacentral:lncRNA from 1 species
CUUCCAUAUCUUACUACCAAUGGAAUCAAUGAUGGUAAAAAAUAAACCACAACACCCAAUUUACAUGACUUCGAGCCCUACAAUAUCUGUUCUUCCUCAAUCAUGGAUCGAGGCAGGCUAACUGGACAUGCGCUUACUUUCAUGAUAAAUAUGGAUGGACAGGAGAGUCUUGUGAUGAUACAAAACUCGAAGGACAUAGCUCAGAUCAUCACAGAG